GACGAACGCUGGCGGCGUGCUUAACACAUGCAAGUCGAACGGAAAGGCCCUGCUUUUGUGGGGUGCUCGAGUGGCGAACGGGUGAGUAAUACGUGAGUAACCUGCCCUUGACUUUGGGAUAACUUCAGGAAACUGGGGCUAAUACCGGAUAGGAGCUCCUGCUGCAUGGUGGGGGUUGGAAAGUUUCGGCGGUUGGGGAUGGACUCGCGGCUUAUCAGCUUGUUGGUGGGGUAGUGGCUUACCAAGGCUUUGACGGGUAGCCGGCCUGAGAGGGUGACCGGCCACAUUGGGACUGAGAUACGGCCCAGACUCCUACGGGAGGCAGCAGUGGGGAAUAUUGCACAAUGGGCGGAAGCCUGAUGCAGCAACGCCGCGUGCGGGAUGACGGCCUUCGGGUGGUAAACCGCUUUCGCCUGUGACGAAGCGUGAGUGACGGUAAUGGGUAAAGAAGCACCGGCUAACUACGU
rnacentral:rRNA from 1 species